rnacentral:rRNA from 1 species
AUGCGAAGCAGCAGUGCUCCCAUUACUUCCCAAUUACUCCUCUCGCUCUUUCUCCCACCCUCCUCCCUUCAAUUGUCAUUCUCGGUCCAUCACUCGAGCCUAGCACUAGCACCAGCAUCAUUUUCACCAACCUUCUACCCGUGCUCGGUAAUCUUCUCCCCGCGCGCGUUUCUUGGAAUUUCCAUCGCACCAACCACCGGCCACCUGCACCAUAUCUUUGUUUUUCUCUCUCGCCUCACCGUAAUCCUCAAUUUUCAUCGCGCCGACACCGACCGAGCCAUCCAUCCACCGCCCUCCACUUUCCCAGCGAGCAAAUCCAAUCUUCGCAACCACAUUGCUGCGGCCCUGCUUCCCUUUUGCACCCGAUCAACUUCCUCUUCAUCCCCGCUCCCUUUCCGGCACCGCCGUGCCCAGCAUCUGGCCGUUUGCGCGGCACAGUCCGAUGGUCUUUGCGGCCUGAUUGCCCCGGGCCCGGCCAGAGAUCCACCAGUUCGGGAGGAGCAAGAAGCUGCAGGCUGGUGGCAGCUCCCAUAA